rnacentral:rRNA from 1 species
GAUGAACGCUAGCGGCAGGCUUAACACAUGCAAGUCGAGGGGCAGCGGGGUGUAGCAAUACAUCGCCGGCGACCGGCGCACGGGUGCGUAACACGUAGGUAAUCAACCCUCUGGUUGGGGAUAACACUUCGAAAGGAGUGCUAAUACCCGGUAUGGCGCAGCGGUCUUCGGAUCGCGGCGAGAAAGACCCGCAAGGGUUGCCAGAGGACGAGCCUACGGCCCAUCAGCUAGUUGGCGAGGUAACGGCUCACCAAGGCGAAGACGGGUAGCUGGUCUGAGAGGAUGAUCAGCCACACUGGAACUGAGACACGGUCCAGACUCCUACGGGAGGCAGCAGUGGGGAAUAUUGCGCAAUGGGCGAAAGCCUGACGCAGCCACGCCGCGUGAGCGAUGAAGGCCUCGGUCGUAAGCUACUGUGGGAGGGAAGGAAGUAAAGACCUAGUGAAGAGACGAGGACCUUGACGGUAGUACUCC